GACGAACGCUGGCGGCGUGCUUAACACAUGCAAGUCGAACGCUGAAGCUCAGCUUUUGUUGGGUGGAUGAGUGGCGAACGGGUGAGUAACACGUGAGUAACCUGCCCCCUUCUUUGGGAUAACGCCCGGAAACGGGUGCUAAUACUGGAUAUUCACUGGUCUUCGCAUGGGGGUUGGUGGAAAGGGUUUUUCUGGUGGGGGAUGGGCUCGCGGCCUAUCAGCUUGUUGGUGGGGUGAUGGCCUACCAAGGCUUUGACGGGUAGCCGGCCUGAGAGGGUGACCGGUCACAUUGGGACUGAGAUACGGCCCAGACUCCGACGGGAGGCAGCAGUGGGGAAUAGUGCACAAUGGGCGCAAGCCUGAUGCAGCGACGCCGCGUGAGGGAUGGAGGCCUUCGGGUUGUGAACCUCUUUCGCUCAUGGUCAAGCCGCAACAAUGGUUGUGGUGAGGGUAGUGGGUAAAGAAGCGCCGGCUAACUACGUG
rnacentral:rRNA from 1 species